GACAAACGCUGGCGGCGUGGAUAAGACAUGCAAGUCGAACGAAGCUUACUUUGUAGCAAUACCGAGUAAGUUCAGUGGCGUAAGGGUGCGUAACACGUGAGCAACCUGCCGGGAAGUGGGGGAUAGCUCGCCGAAAGGCGAAUUAAUACCGCAUACGAUCGCAAGAUCAAAGCAGCAAUGCGCUUUCCGAUGGGCUCGCGGCCUAUCAGCUUGUUGGCGGGGUAACGGCCCACCAAGGCAUUGACGGGUAGCUGGUCUGAGAGGACGACCAGCCACACUGGAACUGAGACACGGUCCAGACACCUACGGGUGGCAGCAGUCGAGAAUUUUUCUCAAUGGGGGAAACCCUGAAGGAGCGACGCCGCGUGGAGGAUGAAGGUCUUCGGAUUGUAAACUCCUGUCAUUUGGGAACAAAGCCCGCAAGGGCCUGAUAGUACCAGAAGAGGAAGAGACGGCUAACUCUGUGCCAGCAGCCGCGGUAACAC
rnacentral:rRNA from 1 species